rnacentral:misc_RNA from 1 species
UCGUAACAAGGUCUCCGUUGGUGAACCAGCGGAGGGAUCAUUACCGAGUUUACAACUCCCAAACCCAAUGUGAACGUUACCAAUCUGUUGCCUCGGCGGGAUUCUCUGCCCCGGGCGCGUCGCAGCCCCGGAUCCCAUGGCGCCCGCCGGAGGACCAACUCAAACUCUUUUUUUCUCUCCGUCGCGGCCUACGUCGCGGCUCUGUUUUAUUUUUGCUCUGAGCCUUUCUCGGCGACCCUAGCGGGCGUCUCGAAAAUGAAUCAAAACUUUCAACAACGGAUCUCUUGGUUCUGGCAUCGAUGAAGAACGCAGCGAAAUGCGAUAAGUAAUGUGAAUUGCAGAAUUCAGUGAAUCAUCGAAUCUUUGAACGCACAUUGCGCCCGCCAGUAUUCUGGCGGGCAUGCCUGUCCGAGCGUCAUUUCAACCCUCGAACCCCUCCGGGGGGUCGGCGUUGGGGAUCGGCCCCUCACCGGGCCGCCCCCGAAAUACAGUGGCGGUCUCGCCGCAGCCUCUCCUGCGCAGUAGUUUGCACACUCGCACCGGGAGCGCGGCGCGGCCACAGCCGUAAAACACCCCAAACUCUGAAAUGUUGACCUCGGAUCAGGUAGGAAUACCCGCUGAACUUAAGCAUAUCAAUAA